GCUUCACUAGCUCAAGUGGUCAGAGCGUCCGCCUGUCGAGCGGGAGGCUACCGGUUCAAAUCCGGUGUGAAGCG
rnacentral:tRNA from 1 species